UGGGGAAUAUUGGACAAUGGGCGCAAGCCUGAUCCAGCCAUACCGCGUGGGUGAAGAAGGCCUUCGGGUUGUAAAGCCCUUUUGUUGGGAAAGAAAUCCAGCCGGCUAAUACCUGGUUGGGAUGACGGUACCCAAAGAAUAAGCACCGGCUAACUUCGUGCCAGCAGCCGCGGUAAUACGAAGGGUGCAAGCGUUACUCGGAAUUACUGGGCGUAAAGCGUGCGUAGGUGGUUAUUUAAGUCCGUUGUGAAAGCCCUGGGCUCAACCUGGGAACUGCAGUGGAUACUGGAUGACUAGAAUGUGGUAGAGGGUAGCGGAAUUCCUGGUGGAGCAGUGAAAUGCGUAGAGAUCAGGAGGAACAUCCAUGGCGAAGGCAGCUACCUGGACCAACAUUGACACUGAGGCACGAAAGCGUGGGGAGCAAACA
rnacentral:rRNA from 1 species